rnacentral:rRNA from 1 species
UGGGAGUCGUACGCUCCUGGGCAAGGGAGCGUGGCGGACGGCUGAGUAACACGUGGCUAACCUACCCUGAGGAGGGAGAUAACCCCGGGAAACUGGGGAUAAUCUUCCAUAGGCGAGGAGUCCUGGAACGGUUCCUCGCUGAAAGGCUCAUGGGCUAUUUCCCGCUCAUGAGCGCCUCAGGAUGGGGCUGCGGCCCAUCAGGUAGUUGGGGGGGUAAGGGCCCCCCAAGCCUAUAACGGGUAGGGGCCGUGAGAGCGGGAGCCCCCAGUUGGGCACUGAGACAAGGGCCCAGGCCCUACGGGGCGCACCAGGCGCGAAACGUCCCCAAUGCGCGGAAGCGUGAGGGCGCCACCCCGAGUGCUCCCGUAAGGGAGCUUUUCCCCGCUCUACAAAGGCGGGGGAAUAAGCGGGGGGCAAGUCUGGUGUCAGCCGCCGCGGUAAUACCAGCCCCGCGAGUGGUCGGGACUCUUACUGGGCCUAAAGCGCCCGUAGCCGGCCCGACAAGUCACUCCUUAAAGACCCCGGCUCAACCGGGGGAAUGGGGGUGAUACUGUCGGGCUAGGGGGCGGGAGAGGCCAGCGGUACUCCCGGAGUAGGGGCGAAAUCCUCAGAUCUCGGGAGGACCACCAGUGGCGAAAGCGGCUGGCUAGAACGCGCCCGACGGUGAGGGGCGAAAGCCGGGGCAGCAAAUGGAUUAGAUACCCCUGUAG